GAACGGUCGGCAGGCGAUCCGCGUCGGUCGCGCGAGGUGGUAUGGUUCCCCAGAGGCCGGUUCUUGUGCUGCCUACCCCUUCAGGGGAAGCGGGCCACUUGAUGUAAGCCUCCAUCCGGCGCCCUCCAACGGGCGCAGGAGGACAACAGAGCACACCCCGCGUACCACCGAGCCUUCGUCGGUCGCGUGGCGCGCGGGGACGUGCGAUGCUCUCGGACCCAGCGAACGCCGUGGGCGAGGACUCACGUCCCAGUCCCGAUAGAAGCUUCGAUAUAAUGCAUGACGGCCGCUCCCGCCCCCCGACCGCCCYGGCGGCGCGUGGGCGAGGCGCGGCGUCGCGGAGGAAUGCUACCUGGUUGAUCCUGC
rnacentral:misc_RNA from 1 species